CCCCAUUCAAGAUGGGGUCGUUGUCUUCCGCCCCAUGUCCGGCACAAAGUAGCAUCGUCCUCGCCUUGUAGAUGACGGGAGGCACUGGCGGACGGGCACAGUAUGCGAUGCGGCGAGCGCGCACACAUCACCACGGUGGUGGUUGGUGCAUAAGAUGCAUUAUAUUUGCUUCAGUCCUAGAUGGCCGAAGAUGACAAGCUUGGAAGCUAACAGGAAGAUAUGGAAGAAGAUGAGUAAUCUCGCUCAGAGGAUGUGUUGAAGGAUUGCUUCUACGAAGGAUCAGUCACUGAUAUGGGUCAAACCAUUGACAAAUUGGUGCUAUAUGAGGAGAGAACCGGAGUACUUCCUCCCAUGUGUGACCAUGAUGAUGACGCGAUGCUGGUACCUGUUACCAAGAGUUAACAAGGUUAAAUGAAGCGAGCUGCUUCCUUGGCAACAGAGGCUCACAGCACCACCCCCUCGUUAGGAAGACAUUUGGAAUCAGUUGUAACAAUCUUUCUGAAGGAAAAUUUGGCUUUAUAGCGUUGUUCUGUAUUGGAAAUUUAUGAAAUCUGAGGUAAGGCAUUCCAUUCGAACAUGUUAUGGACAAGGAUGCGAACCUUCGCAGAUUUGCUCAAUGAGGAAAAAGGACGUCUGGCUACUGAAUGUAGUCCCUUUCAUGGAAUCUGAAAACUGAAAAUCAUAUACGACAUGGUUUGAUAGGGACAAUCUAUAAUUGGUAAUAUGUUCAUGCAAUACCUUCGUAGUUCCUGUCUAUAUAUACCUUUCAUAGUCAAACAUUUUUUGUCGAUUAUACAUUUCUUAGAAUCUUUGUUGUUCGGUCAAGGAUGAUUUUACAUCUGUACCGAUGGUUUUAAUUGCAGAGGCAAGUAUUUGAUACAUGAAACUUGAUAAUAGUGGUUAGCCAUAUGAGUGACACAUUUUGUUAUAAGCAGUACCCUGCCGUUAACUGCUGGUUAAGUGAUGGGGGCAUGAUAAAUUGUACUGUAGAAAUGCCCAAAGAUAUAAAAAAAAUCCACAUGCCUGCCAUAGGUGCUCCUUGGCUAACAGUUCAGAUUCUUGACUACUGUAAUAUGUAUACUUCCAUACUUUAUGCAUCCUAUAUAUACUGCCGCUGCUCCAUGUCUCCAUACAAUUGACUUCUGCUUAAUAUUUUUAUUAAUUUGCCUUUUGCAUUGAAGGUUCGAGUAAUUCUUGACAGACCCUUGUACAUAUGACUCCUUCAUGUUUGACUCCUUUUUUCUGAGAAGGAAAAUCAGGGAUAUAGCCUGGAGCAUCUGCUGACCUCAAAUAGUGAUAUUGCGACAGGAAACUCAAGUGUCGACGAGGCUCGCUGUGGUGGCGGGCGACCGCGGUGAGGCGAGCAUGCCGGGGCCCGGAUGAGGAUCUGCUGACCUCAAAUAGUGAUAUCACUGUUUGAGUACA